AACGCUGGCGGCGCGCUUAAUACAUGCAAGUCGAGCGACGAAAGGGCCUUCGGGCCCCUGAAAGCGGCGAACGGGUGAGUAACACGUGGGUAACCUACCCUCGGUUUCGGGAUAGCCCGGGGAAACUCGGAUUAAUACCGAAUGGCCUCUAGGGUUCUCGGAUCCUGGAGAAAAGGUAGCUUAGGCCUCCGACCGAGGACGGGCCCGCGGCCGAUUAGCUUGUUGGCGGGGUAACGCCCACCAAGGCGA
rnacentral:rRNA from 1 species